CAGCUUAAUCUGUGUGUGCUACCCAGGGAGGUCAGUGGGACAUUGGAAGUGAAACUGUUUCUCCUGUGUGUGCUGGCGCAUGCAGUGCUGCAAGGAGCCUCUGGGAGUUCCGGCGGGAAGAGACCAGCCUCCAUUUGGAGACCUUUGCUACAGGUGAAGACCUUCAAACAAGUCAAGCAGAUAUAUCAGGAGCUCAUCAGUUUUACAUCAAGCCUCCACUGGAGCUUUGCAGUCUGCCAUUCAAAGCCUGAACAAGAGCUCAUCACUGUGCUUUUUCAGGCUUCUGCCAACUCCCUGGAGCCAGUUCCUCCUUGCCAGCCCACAAAGAUUCCAUGGGCAAGCUGUCCCAGGCACGGAAGCUGCAGAAAUAGGGAGAGGCAUACGGGGCAUAAGAGUUGUGAUAGAGAUCGCACAAAGGAAGCAAGGAGACUCCCACAUCUUUCAGUGAGAAGAAAGGAAGCAGUGGAGCAGACUAAUACGGACUUGUGUCUGGUGGCCUUGCAGUACAAAGGCUGCCUUUAAAAGAGAAGCACAGCGUUAUUUAAUGAGCUGUGAGAUGAGGCGCUGCUGCUAACACUCAGAUCCCUGGAUUCAUCGGCUAUUCAUUGUGCUUAAUGUACAUGUUUCUACACCGUGCGUUUAGGAGAUCCCAGAGAAGAAUCCAAAACGGCUG
rnacentral:lncRNA from 1 species